rnacentral:rRNA from 1 species
CGUGUGCUUACAAGUAGUCAGAGCCCGUUAAUGGGUGAUGGCGUGCCUUUUGUAGAAUGAACCGGCGAGUUACGAUUUGAUGCAAGGUUAAGCAGUAAAUGUGGAGCCGUAGCGAAAGCGAGUCUGAAUAGGGCGUUUAGUAUUUGGUCGUAGACCCGAAACCAGGUGAUCUACCCUUGGUCAGGUUGAAGUUCAGGUAACACUGAAUGGAGGACCGAACCGACUUACGUUGAAAAGUGAGCGGAUGAACUGAGGGUAGCGGAGAAAUUCCAAUCGAACCUGGAGAUAGCUGGUUCUCUCCGAAAUAGCUUUAGGGCUAGCCUCAAGUGAUGAUUAUUGGAGGUAGAGCACUGUUUGGACGAGGGGCCCCUCUCGGGUUACCGAAUUCAGACAAACUCCGAAUGCCAAUUAAUUUAACUUGGGAGUCAGAACAUGGGUGAUAAGGUCCGUGUUCGAAAGGGAAACAGCCCAGACCACCAGCUAAGGUCCCAAAAUAUAUGUUAAGUGGAAAAGGAUGUGGCGUUGCCCAGACAACUAGGAUGUUGGCUUAGAAGCAGCCAUCAUUUAAAGAGUGCGUAAUAGCUCACUAGUCGAGUGACACUGCGCCGAAAAUGUACCGGGGCUAAACAUAUUACCGAAGCUGUGGAUUGUCCUUUGGACAAUGGUAGGAGAGCGUUCUAAGGGCGUUGAAGCAUGAUCGUAAGGACAUGUGGAGCGCUUAGAAGUGAGAAUGCCGGUGUGAGUAGCGAAAGACGGGUGAGAAUCCCGUCCACCGAUUGACUAAGGUUUCCAGAGGAAGGCUCGUCCGCUCUGGGUUAGUCG